rnacentral:rRNA from 1 species
GGACCCGCACAAGCAGCGGAGCAUGUGGUUUAAUUCGAAGCAACGCGAAGAACCUUACCAGGGCUUGACAUCCUCCCGACCGGCCGGCAAAACGGCCUUUCGCAAGACGGGAGAGACAGGUGGUGCAUGGUUGUCGUCAGCUCGUGUCGUGAGAUGUUGGGUUAAGUCCCGCAACGAGCGCAACCCUUGCCGUUAGUUGCCAUCAGCCAGGCUGGGCACUCUAACGGGACUGCCGGGGAUAACUCGGAGGAAGGUGGGGAUGACGUCAAAUCAUCAUGCCCCUUAUGUUCUGGGCUACACACGUGCUACAAUGGCCGGCACAAAAGACGCAAUGCGGCGACGCGGAGCAAAUCAUGAAAACCGGUCCCAGUUCGGAUUGCAGGCUGAAACCCGCCUGCAUGAAGUCGGAGUUGCUAGUAAUCGUGAAUCAGAAUGUCA